GACGAACGCUGGCGGCGUGCUUAACACAUGCAAGUCGAACGAAGUGGCGAACGGGUGAGUAACGCGCAAUCAACCUGCCCUUCAGAGGGGGACAACAGGUGGAAAAGACUGCUAAUACCGCAUACUGAAGGAGGGGAUUGCGUCUGGUUAGCAAGUUGGAGGGGUAACGGCCCACCAAGGCGAGGAUCAGUAGCCGGUCGUAGAGGAUGAACGGCCACAUUGGGACUGAGACACGGCCCAGACUCGUACGGGAGGCAGCAGUGGGGAAUCUUCCGCAAUGGACGAAGGUCUGACGGAGCAACGCCGCGUGAGUGAUGACGGCCGUCGGGUUGGAAAGCUCUGUUAAUCGGGACGCGGUACCGGAAUAGAAAGCCACGGCUAACUACGUGCCAGCAGCCGCGGUAAUUC
rnacentral:rRNA from 1 species